AGACAAUAGAUACCCGGGUAGUCCACGCCGUAAACGAUGAGUGCUCGAUGUCGGAGGUGUCGACUCCUCCGGUGUCUAAAGCUAACGCGUUAAGCACUCCGCCUGGGGAGUACGGCCGCAAGGCUAAAACUCAAAGGAAUGGACGGGGAGGCGCACAAGCAGAGGAGCAUGUGGUUUAAUUCGACGCAACGCGAAGAACCUUACCUGGGCUUGACAUGUUCGGGACAGCCGUGGAAACACGGCCUUCCUUCGGGACCCGAUCACAGGUGUUGCAUGGCUGUUGUCAGCUCGUGCCGUGAGGUGUACUGUUAAGUCAGUAAACGAGCGCAACCCGUGUCGUGUGUUGCCAGCAUGAAAGAUGGGGACUCACACGAGAUUGCCGGCGCAAGCCGGAUGAAAGAGCGGAUGAGGUCAAGUCAUCAUGACCCUUAUGUCCAGGGCUACACACGUGCUACAAUGGCCGGCACAGCGGGCAGCAAACCAGCAAUGGUGAGCGAAUCCCUAAAAAGCCGGUCCCAGUUC
rnacentral:rRNA from 1 species